rnacentral:lncRNA from 1 species
GAGAAAGAAACAUGGCGGAGAGAAGUGGCACUUCGGAGAAAUCGAAGGAAAACAUAGCAAAAAGAAACUUCACAAGACCAUGCUAUUGAAUGUGGUGAUGAAGAGGGCCAGAAUUUGCCAGUGGAGCUGAACAGUGAAUCUUCACAAGACAAAUCUAACGAGAAUGACAUUGAAGAUGACCAGAA